UGAUUGCACGAGCUAGGCAGGGUGAGACGCAGUCUGGGCCAAUGGAGAGAGCACUGGACUGGGAGUCAGGAGACAUAGACCCUUUUUCUGGCUGUAUCAUCAAUCUGCUAUAUCACGGUCUGAAAAAAAGACAGAAGUGAAAGAAGCGAAGAAAAAAGAAGCAUCUCCUACCAGAAGCCCAGGAGAACUGAUCAAAGAGCCAAAUAAAAAAAAUAUUUAAAUUAUAGUAGGUCAAAAAAAUU